rnacentral:rRNA from 1 species
GAUGAACGCUAGCGGCAGGCCUAACACAUGCAAGUCGAGGGGCAGCACGGUGUAGCAAUACACUGGUGGCGACCGGCGCACGGGUGCGUAACGCGUAUGCAACCUACCCAUAACAGGGGGAUAACACUGAGAAAUUGGUACUAAUACCCCAUAACAUCAGGACCGGCAUCGGUUCUGGUUGAAAACUCCGGUGGUUAUGGAUGGGCAUGCGUUGUAUUAGCUGGUUGGUGAGGUAACGGCUCACCAAGGCAACGAUACAUAGGGGGAC